GCACUGCUGAGGAGUCCCACAAUAGGACGAAACGGCCGUCC
rnacentral:hammerhead_ribozyme from 1 species